AAUCAACGUCUGCCAAUGUCGACAUCCUUUCUGUACCCGAUAGACCGAUCAAAACCUGCGCAGUUUGAUAAUUCCAUUAACUUUACAAUCUAUGAAAAUUAUAGGUGUAAUUACCCCAAAAAUGUCACGUGGAUGUUAAAAAAUUCCCUCAUGGACAGUUUCGUCAUCUUGAUAAUGACUGCUGAUAUGGAUGUACAAUCGACAUUUGGUAUUCCAUGCACGGAGGCACAGUGGCUGACUUGUCCUGUCACCAAUUGUCCCGUUUUUGAUGAUACCACAAGGGGACAGGGAUGGAAUUGGAAUUUAACCCCAGCUUAUCCAAAUGUACGUCUAGACAGAUCACUCGAGGAAUGCCAGGUUUAUCGGGGCAAUUAUGGCGGUUAUUGUCCACUGGUUAAUGAUGAUGAGGAUGGACAGAGUUUCGAGGAUUAUUUAAACAAUGAGAAACGCAAGGAGAAGUCUCGCGAUGCAGCCAGAUGCAGAAGGAGCAGGGAGACAGAUAUAUUUGCUGAACUUGCUGCUGAACUACCAAUUUCCCAGGAGCAAGCUCAACAUCUGGACAAAGCCAGUGUUAUGAGGCUGGCUAUCGCUUAUCUGAAGGCACGCAGUGUUAUAGAUGGCUUGUCGGAGCCACUACCGAAGGCAGAAAAAAUUUCUGAGAUGGAUAUGAUGUGCCAAGAGGCAUUAGAUGGAUUCGUCCUGGUACUGGCUAACAACGGGGACAUGGUUUAUCUGUCUGAGAAUGUCAGUGACUAUCUGGGAAUUCCUCAGAUGGAUAUGAUGGGCCAGAGUGUCUUCGAGUACGGCCACCCUUGCGAUCACGAGGAAAUUCGUCAAUGUCUGUCAAUGACGGCUGAAGAUGUCAAUGAGAAGCGCAGCUGCAAUUUCUUCCUGCGCCUGAAGUGCACUCUCACCAGCAAGGGACGCAAAGUCAACUUGAAGAGUGCGUCUUAUAAGGUGAUUCAUUGCGUUGGACACCCGAUGAUAUCUCGUCAGACAGUGUCUGAUGAAACUGAGGAGUUGGAUGAGGGAAUUCGCGAAUUUUCUGGCUGUGGUUCCUCUGGCUCUGGCACUGAGGACAGCCAGGAUGGCUCUGACAAGACAAACGUUAAACCAUCAACAGGAAUCUCUCUGGUGGUCGUUGGAUGCCCCAUUCCUCAUCCCAGCAAUAUCGAAGUGCCUCUGGGACGUCAUACAUUUCUAUCCAAGCAUAAUCUCAACAUGAAAUUUACUUAUGCUGAUGACAGGCUCUCCGAAUAUCUGGGAUGGAGCAGCAACGAAUUGAUGGGAAAAUCUGUCUUUGACUUUCAUCAUGCACUCGAUAACUCCGCCCUGAACAAGUCUUUCAAGUCUCUUUUCAGUAAGGGACAGUGUGAGACUGUGGCGUAUCGUUUUCUCAGCAGAACUGGUGGCUACGCCUGGGUCGUCACCCAGGCCACUCUCAUCCGCUGCACAAAGCAGAAUAAACCGCUGUCGGUCGUUUGUGUCAAUCAUAUCUUAAGCGGAAUCGAAUGCAAAGAUGAGGUGUACAGUGUGCGUCAGUUGGAAGCGCGCAGCGCUGCUGAGAAGCUAGAAAAAUUCUCAAAAACCGAGGGGGAAGAUAUUCUCUUGUCCCCCCCAGCCCCCAUAGAGCCGGAAAAAAUUCCAGUGGAGGUCGAGCCUAUCAUUCCUGUCAAACGCACGAGACCUCAGACUGUUACAGCUUCUCUAUUCAAAGAUCUAGAUCCCGAGGAGGGGAAGGGUAUCCCGAGGAUCAACGAUAUUGCUGGCGAGCGCAGGGAAAAACGAUCUCCUUGGCUGUUCCAGGACAAACCAGUGGUGGAUUACGAUCCCUCACGUCAUCGCGCUCUCACUCGUUCACAAGCCGCCACCAGAACCUCGUUGUCAGCUGGUCAGGAUAAUCAGCUGAUUACAGGAAAUUGUCGACCACCACCGCAAACAGCGACAGCCAGUAUUUUUGCUCCUCGUACCGAGGAGAUGAACACGGGCUUCCUCAUAUUCAGUGAGGAUCAGCCGGGCUUGACGAUGUUGAAAGAUGAACCAGAGGAUCUCACUCACUUGGCCCCAACCCCAGGUGACGUAUGCGUACCCCUGGAAGACACUCCAUUCCUCUCAGACAUGCUGGACGAAUUUAUUCUCGGCAACGAUGUUUACUGUCCCCUGCUGAGUCCAUCCCUCCCCGCUGAGUUGCCAAGUGGUUCAGAGCUUUCCGAUGAUUCCGACAAGUCCCCAGAGAGCCUCGUGGAGUCCCUGGAGACAUCGAUAGGCGACACAGAUCCAUUUUUUUACAAAGACACAUCACCAAGUCCCGAUUCCAUUCAGAAAUCAAAUUCCGGACUUUUAACUCCUGUUUUGGGUGGUAGUCCCGCCUCACAGAGUCUAGAUUCAUCUCUGCGAAGUCCUGGAGAUGACAGCACACCCCUGGGAUCGGCAAUAUCAGAGGACGAUAUGUUGAUGCUGAGUAUCGACGAUGUCAUUGCCGAUGAGGAGCUCGCAUUGAGGGCUCCGUACAUACCAAUGUCCGAUCAGGAUGAGACACUUCAGUUGCUCAUCAGCGAUGAUAUGGUUAUGUGGGGACCUACACAGGGCACAUAUAAGAAGGUCAAAUGGGACGCUGAGGACGAGAUAUCCAGACGUUAUGCAGACUCCAGUCUAGCUAAACUCUUGAAAAAUUCGGGGGAGGAAGUGGAGAAGAACGUAGUGAAUCCUGUCCAGGUGUUGGGACAGACGUGUAGAAGAGGAUCAUCGAAUAAGCGUCACCACGGCCCCAACUCACCGCACAAUGGUAAUGAAACAAAGCGCAUAAGAUCGACACAAGAGCCAAAAGAACGUGGACCAAUCACUGCCAGUAAAAUUCCAAAUGACUUAUCCCCAGUUCUAACUGGUGGUGGCACCACAAUAUCAGAAUUAAAUUCUCCCAUGAGUGCGCAGCAAGAGGAUGUUGAUGAGCUGAGGCAGCAGGGAAAUCUUCUGAUGGAACAGUUGAUGGGACAGCAACCGUCUGAGGCAGCCAGACAAGCCAUCUUCGAGGGAAGGAGAGAGGAGUUGAAGGAUGAUGAUCGCGGUGGUGGUGGUGGUGGGAGUUUUAAUGAGAAAAAUGUCAGACAGUCUAACAGCGUUCUCAUGAAUCUACUUGUUUCUGGAUGCGAUGUGAGUGCGGGUUACGUUUGCCUUGUUAAACCGAAAAUUAUUGAUAAAACCAUUACAUCGAAGUGAGUGACAAUUUAUCGAUUGAGGUCAUUUUUUGGAGUUGGAGAUUUUGAGAUAGCGGGGUUGCUUUAUCGUUAUUAUUAUCCGGUUGAUGAGAAUAGUCGGAGAGGGGGUGGGAGGAGGGGAAUUAUGGUCAGGGGAAAGGAGGCAUUUCAGGAUUCAGGGAAUUUUUCCGCUGGUUUUGGAUGGAACUUCAGCCUGAGAUGAUUUUAUUGAUGACUUUUAAUGUUCCAAAGGGUCGGUUAACCCUCCAAGAGCAUUUUACUUCCAAGUUCAAACGUCCUUGAGGGUAUUUAACUCUCGAAACCAUUUGGGGUUCAAAGACAAAGGAGAUCUACCUUGACGUACCUCGUCUACUCCAGGAUAAACGCCAGCCCCUGAUGAUAAACACAGAGGCCUCACCUAUCCACGACAUCUCCAGGAGUUAUCUUACCACGUACACGAUGAAUGCGCAGUCGCCCAGUCCAA